UACGUAGGGUGCAAGCGUUAAUCGGAAUUACUGGGCGUAAAGGGCUCGUAGGCGGCCAACUAAGUCGGAUGUGAAAUCCCCAGGCUUAACCUGGGAACUGCAUCCGAUACUGGAUGGCUUGAAUCCGGGAGAGGGAUGCAGAAUUCCAGGUGUAGCGGUGAAAUGCGUAGAUAUCUGGAGGAAUACCGGUGGCGAAGGCGGCAUCCUGGACCGGCAUUGACGCUGAUGAGCGAAAGCUAGGGGAGCAAACGGGG
rnacentral:rRNA from 1 species